CCCCACUCGCUCUCUCUUUCUCUUGCUCUCUCUCUCUCUCUCUGCCCAGAACUUGAAAACCCCACCCACAUCUCCGACCACCUCCCCUCCCAACCACCAUUGAAGCCAUACAAACCCCACCCACAUAUCUGCCCCACCCCGACUCACUAUCUCAUUCUCUUCCUCUCUCGCCCUCUCUGUGUCUGGGUCGGGUUCGCAAGAGAGGAGUCGGAUUCGGGUCGUUCUAGAGACAUGUGGGCAAGCUUAGAAUUAUGGGUUUUCAGGUUGUGGGAGAGUACAAAGCUUGAAGAAGAAGACGAAGGAGAAGAAAUGGAGGAAGACAGAAAAGAGGGAGUGCAGCAAUGGCCAAAAAAGGAGAUUUUGGAGUGACGAAAUAUUUGGGAUUUGGGAGAUUUUGGAGAGUCCUAGGGUUUUGUUCUUGGUCCCAUUUUUGUUGUUCUAGGUGAUGAGAUGGAUUUGUCUAAGGUCGGCGAGAAAAUUAUGAGCUUCGUUAGCUCUGUCAGAUGGCUUGGCCUUCUUCUUUCUGUGGGGUUGGGUCAAGGUUCGCAAGGGGGCGGUGGUGAAAGCUAUGGGG
rnacentral:lncRNA from 1 species